rnacentral:rRNA from 1 species
UACGUAGGGGGGCGAGCGUUGUCCGGAUUUAUUGGGCGUAAAGAGCUCGUAGGCGGUUUGGCAAGUCGGGUGUGAAAACUCCGGGCUCAACUCGGAGACGCCACUCGAUACUGCUAUGACUCGAGUCCGGUAGGGGAGUGCGGAAUUCCUGGUGUAGCGGUGAAAUGCGCAGAUAUCAGGAGGAACACCGGUGGCGAAGGCAGUGGUCUGGGCCGAUACUGACGCUGAGGAGCGAAAGCGUGGGGAGCGAACAGG